rnacentral:rRNA from 1 species
UACGAAGGGUGCAAACGUUGUUCGGAAUUACUGGGCGUAAAGCGCGUGUAGGUGGUGGGGCAAGUCGGAUGUGAAAGCCCAGGGCUCAACCCUGGAAGUGCAUUCGAUACUGCUUCACUGGAGUCCCGGAGAGGAUGGUGGAACUCUCGGUGUAGAGGUGAAAUUCGUAGAUAUCGAGAAGAACACCGGCGGCGAAGGCGGCCAUCUGGACGGUGACUGACACUGAGACGCGAAAGCGUGGGGAGCAAACAGG